rnacentral:rRNA from 1 species
UGAGGAAUAUUGGUCAAUGGACGCAAGUCUGAACCAGCCAUGCCGCGUGAAGGAUGAAGGCGUUCUGCGUUGUAAACUUCUUUUAUCUGGGAAGAAACCUACGAUUUCUAUUGUAGCCGACGGUACCAGAGGAAUAAGCACCGGCUAACUCCGUGCCAGCAGCCGCGGUAAUACGGAGGGUGCAAGCGUUAUCCGGAUUCACUGGGUUUAAAGGGUGUGUAGGCGGGCUAUUAAGUCCGAGGUGAAAUCUCCGAGCUUAACUCGGAAACUGCCUUGGAUACUAUUAGUCUUGAAUAUCGUUGAGGUUUGCGGAAUAUGUCAUGUAGCGGUGAAAUGCAUAGAUAUGACAUAGAACACCGAUUGCGAAGGCAGCGGGCUAAACGAUUAUUGACGCUGAGGCACGAAAGCGUGGGGAUCAAACAGGAUUAGAUACCCCCGUAGUCC